rnacentral:pre_miRNA from 1 species
AAAGUACUCCCUCCGUUCCAAAAUUCUUGUCUUAGAUUUGUCUAGAUACGGAUGUAUCAAGUCACAUUUUAGUAUUAGAUACAUCCGUAUAUAGACAAAUCUAAGACAAGAAAUUUGGGACAGAGGGAGUAGUUG